AGAGACUUCAUUUAUGGGGAAUAAGCACAUUGAAGACACUGGUAGUACACCAAGCAUUGGAGAAAAUGACUUAAAAUUCACCAAGAAUUUUGGUACAGAGAAUCACAGAGAAAAUACAAGCCGAGAGAGGUUAGUAGUAGAAAGUUCAACGAGCUCACAUAUGAAGAUACGUAGCCAAAGUUUUAAUACAGACACUACAACAAGUGGCAUAAGUUCAAUGAGCUCAAGUCCUUCACGAGAGACAGUAGGUGUAGAUGCUACAACUAUGGACACAGACUGUGGAAGCAUGAGUACUGUGGUAAGUACUAAAACUAUUAAGACAAGCCACUAUUUGACGCCACAGUCUAACCAUCUGUCUCUCUCCAAAUCAAAUUCGGUGUCCCUGGUGCCUCCAGGUUCUUCUCAUACGCUUCCUAGAAGAGCACAGUCCCUUAAAGCACCCUCUAUUGCUACAAUUAAAAGUCUAGCAGAUUGUAACUUUAGUUACACAAGUUCUAGAGAUGCUUUUGGCUAUGCUACACUGAAAAGACUACAGCAACAAAGAAUGCAUCCAUCCUUAUCUCACUCUGAAGCUUUGGCAUCUCCAGCAAAAGAUGUGCUAUUUACUGAUACCAUCACCAUGAAGGCCAACAGUUUUGAGUCCAGAUUAACACCAAGCAGGUUCAUGAAAGCCUUAAGUUAUGCAUCAUUAGAUAAAGAAGAUUUAUUGAGUCCUAUUAAUCAAAAUACCCUGCAACGAUCUUCCUCAGUGCGGUCCAUGGUGUCCAGUGCCACAUAUGGGGGUUCAGAUGAUUACAUUGGUCUUGCUCUCCCGGUGGAUAUAAAUGAUAUAUUCCAGGUAAAGGAUAUUCCCUAUUUUCAGACAAAAAACAUACCACCACAUGAUGAUCGAGGUGCAAGAGCAUUUGCCCAUGAUGCAGGAGGUCUUCCAUCUGGAACUGGAGGUCUUGUAAAAAAUUCUUUUCACUUGCUACGACAGCAGAUGAGUCUUACGGAAAUAAUGAAUUCAAUCCAUUCAGAUGCCUCUCUGUUUUUAGAAAGUACAGAAGACACUGGACUACAGGAACAUACAGAUGAUAACUGCCUUUAUUGUGUCUGUAUUGAAAUUCUGGGUUUCCAGCCCAGCAACCAACUGAGUGCAAUAUGUAGUCAUUCAGACUUUCAAGAUAUUCCAUAUUCUGAUUGGUGUGAGCAGACUAUCCAUAAUCCUUUAGAAGUGGUUCCCUCUAAGUUUUCGGGGAUUUCUGGAUGCAGUGAUGGGGUGUCUCAAGAAGGCUCAGCUAGCAGCACCAAAAGCACAGAAUUGUUACUAGGUGUUAAAACAAUUCCAGAUGAUACACCAAUGUGCCGUAUACUCCUUCGCAAAGAAGUUCUAAGAUUAGUCAUUAAUUUGAGUAGUUCAGUUUCAACUAAAUGUCAUGAGACUGGGCUUUUAACAUGCAUGAAGAAGCAGAGGCUGUGUUGGCAACACCACCAAAGCAACCUAUAGUUGAUACAUCUGCUGAAUCCUGACCUCAUAUUUAUGAUGGAUAUAGAUACAUACUAUAUAUAUUCAUAUUUGUGGAUUUCCUAAAAGCCUCAGAAAAUACGACUGACUAGGCAGCAAAGACAGGAGUAUCUUCUGCACACUGUUCCGCAGUUACUGGUACAUGAACAGUUGGAACUGCUGACUUUCCUAACCAAAACAACUUCCUUCUCUCCUUUGUUGAGCCUUUUGAGGGGUUCAUGAUUCAUUACCACAGUUUUAAGAGUUUUAGUUACCAUUGUAUGCAAGAGCCAAGCACUGAAUACCUACAUAGGUUUUCUAUUUUCUUUCAUUUUAAAAGCAUAAUGACAGUGGAACAAUAAUGGGAUAUGCAGAAGCACCCUUCACAAGUUAUUUCUGAAUGAUUUUUAGGGUAAAUUUACAGAUGCCUUGUUUGUUAACUAAUUUGUGGAAAGCAGGAAUCAGUGUCUCUAAGGCUGCAUCCUGUUACCACAAUGGGGUGUGCUAUAACUGCUGGUAUUAGAGAGGGAACUUUGGCCCUUUCAUGUUUUUCUUAAUGUUUGUAACACUACUUCAGAGGUUUAUAACCUCAAAGCAGAAGAAGAGCCUCAACAACCCGGG
rnacentral:lncRNA from 1 species